rnacentral:rRNA from 1 species
UACGGAGGGAGCUAGCGUUGUUCGGAAUUACUGGGCGUAAAGCGCACGUAGGCGGAUCAGUCAGUUAGGGGUGAAAUCCCAGGGCUCAACCCUGGAACUGCCUUUAAUACUGCUGGUCUGGAGUCCGAGAGAGGUGAGUGGAAUUCCGAGUGUAGAGGUGAAAUUCGUAGAUAUUCGGAGGAACACCAGUGGCGAAGGCGGCUCACUGGCUCGGUACUGACGCUGAGGUGCGAAAGCGUGGGGAGCAAACAGGG